CUACGGAGGCGUGUCUCCUUCGUCUGGGCAUCCCGGACUCAGUCCUGGCACAUAGUGGGCAUCAGUGUUCAUGGUAAUGACAUCAGAUGAACACAACUGGACUCUGAAGAGGGGGAAAAAAACAACCUCACUUAACCGGACGUCUUUCUGAAACAAACCCAUCAAGAGUUCUUUAAAAAAAGGAACUGAAAUGCUGGAAGCACCCUCAAAGGGAAGCAGACGCCUGACUUUCACAUCCACCCUCUCAUCUGACCCCAGACUCCUGGGAGACGGGCAAGUCGGUUGGGCCGGGGCAGGCCCGCAAUCCCCCGUUCCGUGCCCAGAUGCGCUUCGGAAUACAGAACAGCUGGGACUUGGAAAGAUAAUAUGGGGCACACACCUGCAGUAGGUUAUAUAACCUCCCAGCAGGGCUUGGGGCAGCAGCCGACCAUCGAGCUCAUUUGCAUUUCUGCAGCGAAACAUGAAUAUUCACACAAGUGCGAUAAAUAAAGACCAUCAGCAGCCUCA